rnacentral:rRNA from 1 species
CCUACGGGGGGCAGCAGUGGGGAAUAUUGGGCAAUGGGCGCAAGCCUGACCCAGCAACGCCGCGUGAAGGAAGAAGGCUUUCGGGUUGUAAACUUCUUUUGUCAGGGACGAAGCAAGUGACGGUACCUGACGAAUAAGCCACGGCUAACUACGUGCAAGCAGCCGCGGUAAUACGUAGGUGGCAAGCGUUAUCCGGAUGUACUGGGUGUAAAGGGCGUGUAGGCGGGUCUGCAAGUCAGAUGUGAAAACCACGGGCUCAACCUGUGGCCUGCAGUUGAAACUGUUGUACUAGAGUACUGGAGAGGCAGACGGAAUUCCUAGUGUAGCAGUGAAAUGCGUAGAUAUUAGGAGGAACACCAGUGGCGAAGGCGGGCUGCUGGACAGCAACUGACGCUGAGGCACGAAGGCGAGGGGAGCAAACGGGAUUAGAUACCCGAGUAGUC